AUUUCUUAUUGCCCCAUUAAGGAGUUGAUAUCUGACGAAAAUCCUCCCAUAUACAAAGAAGUACUAUUAAGUGACUAUGCAAUGAAGUUUUUAACUAGUUCUCUUCAUGAGAAUUAUCUUCUUAAUUAUUUCAAAGCAUGAAGAUGGCAAGGUAAGAAGUAAUCUUUCUCAGCUGCAUGCACUUGUGAAUGACCUGUUUCAAGAGACAAGACAGAUUGUGAAUUAUGGAAUGUAAUGUUAUUUAUCUACAUUAGAGUUAAUCAUCAUGUUAUCAUGUCACAUGCUGCAUAGACAAAUGAUCAUCUCCGAUGAGAUAACUAUAUAUGUUUGAAUUUUGUGUUUAAUAAAAGCAUGAUAAUGGAUAUACUUUUGUAAAAUGUGAAAAGUAAGCAUGUAAUGUACGGAAUAAAAUGAUUCAGGGGUUCCCGUUCCAUUUUUUAUAUGUAUUAUGUAAAUUAAUAGGGUUGCCGAAGCAAACCAUAAACAUAGUAUGGGGGUGUUUGAUGGGGAUCUUAAA
rnacentral:lncRNA from 1 species